rnacentral:rRNA from 1 species
AAGCACCGGCUAACUCCGUGCCAGCAGCCGCGGUAAUACGGAGGGUGCGAGCGUUAAUCGGAAUUACUGGGCGUAAAGGGCACGCAGGCGGUUAAUUAAGUUGGAUGUGAAAUCCCCGGGCUUAACCUGGGAAUGGCAUUCAAGACUGGUUAGCUAGAGUCUUGUAGAGGGGGGUAGAAUUCCAUGUGUAGCGGUGAAAUGCGUAGAGAUGUGGAGGAAUACCGGUGGCGAAGGCGGCCCCCUGGACAGAGACUGACGCUCAUGUGCGAAAGCGUGGGGAGCAAACAGGAUUAGAUACCCUGGUAGUCCACGCUGUAAACGAUGUCGAUUUGGAGGUUGUGGUCAUGAACUGUGGCCUCCGGAGCUAACGCGUUAAAUCGACCGCCUGGGGAGUACGGCCKCAAGGUUAAAACUCAAAUGAAUUGACGGGG